GACGAACGCUGGCGGCGUGCUUAACACAUGCAAGUCGAACGGAAAGACCCUGCUUUUGUGGGGUGCUCGAGUGGCGAACGGGUGAGUAACACGUGAGUAACCUGCCCUUGACUUUGGGAUAACUUCAGGAAACUGGGGCUAAUACCGGAUAGGAGCUCCUGCUGCAUGGUGGGGGUUGGAAAGUUUCGGCGGGUGGGGAUGGACUCGCGGCUUAUCAGCUUGUUGGUGGGGUAGUGGCUUACCAAGGCUUUGACGGGUAGCCGGCCUGAGAGGGUGACCGGCCACAUUGGGACUGAGAUACGGCACAGACUCCUAAGGGAGGCAGAAGUGGGGAAUAUUGCACAAUGGGCGGAAGGCUGAUGCAGCAACGCCGCGUGCUGGAUGACGGCCUUCGGGUGGUAAACCGCUUUCGCCUGUGACGAAGCGUGAGUGACGGUAAUGGGUAGAGAAGCACCGGCUAACUACGUG
rnacentral:rRNA from 1 species